UUAGAGUUUUGGAUGUUCUUGUGGGGAAGAUUUUUCUUUUUCUUCCUCUCUUUUCCUUCUUCUGAAAAUUUUGGUCUACAACUUUUCGUUUGGCUUUGGAGGAGCUUUGAUAUGGAGUUGAGGUGCUGUGGAAUUUCUGGAGCUCUUCAUUAGUUUUCAGAUUCUUUUACGCACACUCCAGAAUGGUGGUUGGUGUACUAAAACCUUGCUGGCAUUGAAUAGGAACUUUUGCAUGAACAAUUGCUCAGGUGAUUUCCUUAGAGCGGACAAUAAAGCAUUGGGAUCCCAACAUAUGCAGAUCAACUAUCCAAAGGAACUUGUCAACCUUAUCAGGCAAUGAUGGGUUCCUUAUCUAUUCUUCACAUACCCCUCUUGUUUCUUAUAUAUUUACAGUUCUAUAUUGAUGUACUUGUCUCAGCUAUUCUCAAGGCUUGUGGGAUCACAUGUAUAGUUGCUCUUUAUGAAUAAAAAUGUGUUAUAUGCAAAUGUUUCAUUUAUGUAUAUCUUUUGAUUAAAACA